GGGCGCGUAGCUCAGGGGUAGAGCGCCUGCCUUACAAGCAGGAUGUCGGCGGUUCGAAACCGUCCGCGCCCACCA
rnacentral:tRNA from 5 species